AUUGACAGCCACUGCAUAUAUUGCUGCUAAAUCGCACCUUGGGUAGCAGACGCUGUGGGACUUUGACGUGCAGACAUAUGGUCGCUCAUCUGAACGCUGAAACGAUCUCUGUUUGUCAAAAGAGGAACUGGCCAGGUGUGUUCCAGAUCCCACCCCCGCUCGGAGUAACUGAAGGAUCUGGGACACAUUAAGAAUUGUCUGGUUUUUGUAUACUGACCGGACUGGCGAGCUAACCAUAGCGGAUUCAGAAAGUCACCCAUAAUCUGAGGAAACAUCUCCAAACCGGAAGGGAAAUUCAACCAACCACUUCACAGCUGGAACUAAAUGACUAUUUUUGUUUUUCCCUUCCGUCACCGACAGAGACUUCCUUGGUUUAAGGAACUGGACUUUAAAGCUGUGAAACAAUUUGUAUAUAUUGUAAAUAUAAAUACACCUCAUUGAUUUUGCACUCUCCAGUUGUAUGUGUCUUGCAAUUUGCCACUACCUCCAGUAGACGAACCUGGAACCUAGUUUUUCACUUAGAGUGACGUUGAUUUGGGUUUUUUAAUAAUCUUAAAAUGUAACUCGGGUUACAAUAG